rnacentral:rRNA from 1 species
UACGUAGGGUGCAAGCGUUGUCCGGAAUUAUUGGGCGUAAAGAGCUCGUAGGCGGUUUGUCACGUCGGUUGUGAAAACUCGGGGGCUCAACCCCGAGCCUGCAAUCGAUACGGGCAGACUAGAGUGCUGUAGGGGAGACUGGAAUUCCUGGUGUAGCGGUGAAAUGCGCAGAUAUCAGGAGGAACACGGUGGCGAAGGCAGGUCUCU